rnacentral:lncRNA from 1 species
AAGAUUUAGAGGACAGUGAGUGGCCUUCACUACACUCCCUUGGGAAGGAAACGAGGCCACUGCCUUCACUUCCUCUGUCCCCACUCAGAAAUAAAAUGGUUAUAGGAAAAGCUGACCUCUCACAUGAAUGCACAGGUAAUUUGCGUUUUUAUUAGUGUCAAAAUCUGACCAAUAUGCUGUACGAUACUUAAAAAUUUUCCUGUAUUUAUAAUUGAUGCAGCUUAGAAAAGUGAAAUGUCCAAAUGUGAAGUUGGAGCACUUUAGUUGGAACACUAGGGGGGAACCAGACUUGGAGUACAUAAUUUAGAUAUUCAAUAACAGACAAUCCAGGUUAGAAAAGAAACUUUCAAUUAUGUCUCAACUGAAUGAAUGAAUGAAUAGAAACUUUGGUAGAACAACCCCUUACAAUGGGAAAACAAAAAUUAGCCAUAAGAGGAAAAAAUGUUUAACAAACUUAGAGAUAUCAUUAUAAAGGAACAAAAGAGCUAAGAUUUGUAAGUAUAUACUAUGUUUCAGGCAUUUCUUAAAUAUUACCCUUGCUUUAGAGAUAAACUGAAGCCCAGAGAUGUUUGAAAACUUGCCCAGCUGGUAAAUGACAGACGCCAGUUCAAACCCAGAUCUUCUAAGCCUCACGGCCUGCCAAAAAAUCUCAUUUUUAGCUAAUGUAGAACUGGGAAUGCUUUUUCCUCACAGACUUAAUAAAGGGGAGGAGAGCUAGAUUCCUAAGCCUAUUCACAAAAGUCUAUUUGGUCUUUAAUGGAAAUGAAAUAAUAAUGCCAUUAAAUGGAACAAUUCCAACAAAGACUGUGAGAGAAAAGAGGAAAAUGCAGUGGUUGACGUCUUCAAGUGUUGGCAUUGUGGUGAUUUUUCCCUUUUAAAAGUCCCUUCCCUUUUUAUUGUUUUCUGUGAAGUGAAAAUAAAAACCAGGACAGGAGACCACCUUACACAUCACUCUAACCAUCUUUCUCUGGCAGGACCCCAGGGCCCUUUGCCAUGGGCACAACAACUGGAGCCCUGGCAUGAAUCCUACAAGGACAGGAACUUCCCCUCCCACCACUGGCCCCAACCUGGAUCCCUGCAGGUGAUGAUUUUUUCAGUCUAGGAAUUCAAGAGAAUACAUUUUAUUAGUUUGAUCAGUGGCAAGACACCAUGACAACCAGACCAAGGCUCCUCCGGCUGUUGUGGCUUCAGAAAGCUGUGUUUUACUGUCAAGUGUAUUGCCCGAGUGCACUCGCAAGAUGGCAGCACAGUUUUCCCAAGUCAGAUGUCGCAGGCGUGUCCUCGCUCUGCACGUGAAGGAGCAGGGUUUCAACAAAAUACGUGGAUCUAGCAUAUUAAAGAUCAGCAAAGCCUAUGUCUUCCAAACGCCACUCUGAACAUUACUGGUUUUCACUGGCCUGCUGUGAAAUGAGAAAAAUAAUGACAAUGUGUCUAGGAAACACUGAUCCAGUCCAAACUGACUUCUCGUGAAGAGCCUUUUGGUUUGAUGUAUAAUGUUUGUCAAAAGGGAUUACAUUCUGAGGUGGGAAGAACACUGCUUGACAUGAGAGGAGGAUCCAAAACUGAAUUCCCGGUGUGACAGUCCAGUUGUGUGGAAUCGAGCGUGUCCUUUAUGCUCAGAGCCUCUUCCCUCGGCCUUCUCCCCCGCAGGGCGAGAAGGGUGAGAGGCUUAAUUGCUGGAACUGCAGUGCUGUGUAAGUGCUCCUGUCCCAUCGUGCUGCAUCCUCGGAGCUUUCCCUCACAAAGGCUGCUCAGCAGGUCCUGCAAUAGCUGGUGGGAAACCACGAGGAGGGAUGCUCCAACUUACCAAGUAUUUCCCUGGGAGUUCCUAAUUUCAAUGAGAAGAAUAUUCUCUAAUUAAAAUGCCGCUGCAGAAUCUUUUUUAAAACAAAUUGCCAUCUAAUUUCCCUUUGAUCUUUUUUUUUUCCACUUGGGUUGCAAGGUUUUAAGAAUUUUCCCCAAACACUUUGAGUCUACAGUAAUUUUAUUUCAUUCUAAUUAAACUUCAAAGGACAAAAUGCCAAGCCACCAGAAAAAGCUAAGCUUUUUUCUGCUUCACUGAUGCAAGAAGCAUUUUCGGGACAUCUACUCUGUGCCUGACAUUGUGCUGGGUGUUGGAGAGACAAAGAUGGAUAAAUACGACUCGGUCCUUGCGCUUGCUGGGUCCACUGUUUCCAGGACACCAUCAAGCCAUAAACAGAACAUCAUAAUGCAAUGUGGUGACCACAGAAACACCAUCACACAGCCAUUUUAUAUAGGGCUUUGUGGGAGCAAAAUGGCAGCCCUGGCUGAGCUGACACUUUAAAUGAAAUUUAAAGGAUGACUACAAUUUAGCCAAAUGAGAGCAUGAAGGACACGCCAGUCAGAGGAGACAACAUAAGCUCAGGUCCGGGGGUGGGAAAUGGCAUUGAUGUGGAUCAAGGCUGCCCCAGGGAGAGAAGCCCAAGGCGUCCCAGCCUACAUGCCGAUUUAUAUCAUCCUCCAGGAAACAUAGGAUAUCCUGACCUGAUCCAACCUGACUCAUAUCCAGAGUUAUACGACCACUCGAUAACCAGACCCCACCUGCAUUGAUACCAUGUUAACAACUUUUUUACAUGAUCUUUCCUUUGUCUUGUAAAGAAGUAACUCACAUACCUCUGCUUUAUAAAUUUAGCCCUACCCUCAACCCAUUGCAGCUCUUCACUGCCCAUGGGUCCUGUCCCCAUGCUAUUCUCUGAAUAAAAA